rnacentral:rRNA from 1 species
CCUACGGGGGGCUGCAGUCGAGAAUAGUCUACAAUGGACGAAAGUCUGAUAGUGCGACGCCGCGUGAACGAAGAAUCCCUUCGGGGUGUAAAGUUCUUUUAUAUGUGAGCAAUGCCUUGUAUGUGAAUAGCAUACAGGGAGAGAUAUUAGCAUAUGAAUAAGCAACGGCUAACUCCGUGCCAGCAGCCGCGGUAACACGGGGGUUGCAAGCGUUGUCCGGAAUUACUAGGCGUAAAGGGCAGGUAGGCGGAUCUAUAAGUUUGAUGUUAAAAGCAGCGGCUCACCCGCUGUACGGCUUCAGAUACUGUAGAUCUGGAAUACGGUUGAGGAAGACAGAAUUCCUGGUGUAGCGGUGGAAUGCGCAGAUAUCAGGAGGAAUACCAAAGGCGAAGGCAGUCUUCUAAGCCGGUUAUUGACGCUAAACUGCGAAGGUGUGGGUAGCAAACAGGAUUAGAUACCCCUGUAGUC